GCCCAGCUGGCUGAGUCAGUACAGCACGUGACUCAUGAUCUCUGGCUGUGAGUUCAAGCCCCAUGUUGGGUA
rnacentral:tRNA from 1 species